rnacentral:rRNA from 1 species
AGAGUUUGAUCCUGGCUCAGAUUGAACGCUGGCGGCAUGCCUUACACAUGCAAGUCGAACGGUAACGCGGGGGCAACCCUGGCGACGAGUGGCGAACGGGUGAGUAAUACAUCGGAACGUACCCAGUAGUGGGGGAUAGCUCGGCGAAAGCCGGAUUAAUACCGCAUACGCACUGAGGUGGAAAGCGGGGGAUCGCAAGACCUCGCGCUAUUGGAGCGGCCGAUGUCGGAUUAGCUUGUUGGUGGGGUAAAAGCCUACCAAGGCGACGAUCCGUAGCUGGUCUGAGAGGACGACCAGCCACACUGGGACUGAGACACGGCCCAGACUCCUACGGGAGGCAGCAGUGGGGAAUUUUGGACAAUGGGCGAAAGCCUGAUCCAGCAAUGCCGCGUGUGUGAAGAAGGCCUUCGGGUUGUAAAGCACUUUUGUCCGGAAAGAAAUCUGUCUGGCUAAUACCCGGACGGGAUGACGGUACCGGAAGAAUAAGCACCGGCUAACUACGUGCCAGCAGCCGCGGUAAUACGUAGGGUGCGAGCGUUAAUCGGAAUUACUGGGCGUAAAGCGUGCGCAGGCGGUUGUGUAAGACAGGUGUGAAAUCCCCGGGCUUAACCUGGG